GACGUAGGAGGCGAGCGUUGUCCGGAUUUACUGGGCGUAAAGCGCGCGCAGGCGGUCGCGCAGGUCAUCUGUGAAAGCACCCGGCUCAACCGGGCUGAUGCGGGUGAAACCGCGCGACUGGAGGGCGGUAGAGGGUGGUGGAAUUCCCGGUGUAGUGGUGAAAUGCGUAGAUAUCGGGAGGAACACCCGUAGCGAAGGCGGCCACCUGGGCCGGCCCUGACGCUGAGGCGCGAAGGCCAGGGGAGCGAACGGG
rnacentral:rRNA from 1 species